rnacentral:rRNA from 1 species
UACAGAGGGGGCAAGCGUUGUUCGGAAUUACUGGGCGUAAAGGGCGCGUAGGCGGCCCUCUAAGUCGAACGUGAAAUCCCCGGGCUCAACCCGGGAACUGCGUCCGAUACUGGAAGGCUUGAAUCCGGGAGAGGGAUGCGGAAUUCCAGGUGUAGCGGUGAAAUUCGUAGAUAUUCGCAAGAACACCAGUGGCGAAGGCGGCUCACUGGCCCGGUACUGACGCUGAGGUGCGAAAGCGUGGGGAGCAAACAGG